GACAGAGGGUGCAAACGUUGUUCGGAAUUACUGGGCGUAAAGCGCGUGUAGGCGGCUCUGUAAGUCGGGUGUGAAAUCCCACGGCUCAACCGUGGAAGUGCACUCGAAACUACAGGGCUAGAGUCCUGGAGAGGAAGGUGGAAUGCUUGGUGUAGAGGUGAAAUUCGUAGAUAUCAAGCGGAACACCGGUGGCGAAGGCGGCCUCUGGACAGUGACUGACGCUGAGACGCGAAAAGCGUGGGGAGCGAACAGG
rnacentral:rRNA from 1 species